AUACCAGCUCUCCGAGUGGUGUGGAUGUUUAUUGGGCCUAAAGCAUCCGUAGCUGGCUAAGUUAGUCCUUUGUUAAAUCCACCGAAUUGAUCGUUGGAUUGCGGGGGAUACUGCUUGGCUAGGGGACGAGAGAGGCAGACGGUAUUUCCGGGGUAGGGGUGAAAUCCUAUAAUCCCGGGAAGACCACCAGAGGCGAAGGCUGUCUGCUAGAACGCGCCCGACGGUGAGGGAUGAAAGCUGGGGGAGCGAACCGGGUUAGAUACCCGGGUAGUCCCAGCUGUAAACGAUGCAGGCUAGGUGUUUGGACGGCCACGUGCCGUUCUAGUGCCGCAGGGAAGCUGUUAAGCCUGCCGCCUGGGGAGUACGAUCGCAAGAUUGAAACUUAAAGGAAUUGGCGGGG
rnacentral:rRNA from 1 species